rnacentral:tRNA from 1 species
UCCCUGGUGGCUUAGUGGUAAAGAACCUGCCUACCAAUGCAGGAGAUGUGGGUUUGAUUCCCGGCUCAGGAA